AGAGUGUAACCCAUUUUGGUUGCAAAAAUUGGGAUGCAUUUUGCAAGAUGUAUGGUCUUGAUGAGGGUAUGGUUGUCACCAUGGAUCUUGGUGAUCCUACAAUCGAGCAAGAGACACCUUCGAUUUGGGUCUUUGCGGAUACACCUCCAGUUCUUCCCUCAUCUUAUUUUCAUUCUUCAAAGAAUGUGCGGAAGAUGGUAGACAGAACGUACUACACCGAAGGCUCC
rnacentral:rRNA from 1 species